AUGGUAUCAGAGCUCAGGUUUGCAGGAGGUCUCGGGUUCGAGCCCUGCCACCCCCCAAUAUUCUCACAUUUAAAAUGGACACGAAGGCAAUUUAUGCCCCAAAGAUGGGAGCCCGUGAUCCACUCUUCAACCCAAAUAAUGGGAUUUCGAGUGAGGGGGAGUGUUGAAAUAUAAGGUAUAAGAUCCAUAAAGGGGCCUCCUCUAACACCUUGAGGUUUUAGAGUAACUGGUUCCUUGACAUGGUAUCAAUUCUCACAAUUUAUAGUGGCACGAAUGGAAACUUUGCAGUGUUAGUAGUUAUGACUAUCAUUUUCAGCAUGAAGAUUUUAUAUUAUUUUCUGUACUAUCAUUUUGAACAUUAGAAAUAUAUUAUUUUAUUCAUAUAUAAUUUAUAAUACAAUCCUGUGUAAGUCUAUAUUCAUUCUUAUAGAAGUGGAUUGGAAUCUCUUUACCUCCUUGCUGUAAUAAUGUACAUACUUUGUUAUUGUCAGUUUCUUUUCCCUAAUCUCAAUAGAAAAUUACACUUAUAAUUAUUAUCAUUAAAAUAUAUCCAGAACGAUAGAUUUUGACUUAAUGACAGAUAAUAAAUUAUCCAAGGCAAGAAUCAGCACUCAGCAGGUGGCGUAAGUACACCAAGAAAGCUUCCGACCAAAUAACAGACUCCAAAGCCUUCUUUAUCACCUUUUCCUUGCUUUUCUGGUUUGGUUAAAUGGUCAAUAUUAAUCCAUUCCCCUGCCUAUAAUAGCAUAUAUGUAUCAUAACUGAGCCUUAGUACUUUGACUUUGCUUCUGCCAAUAGAUUCACAUUUAAUUAAAAUAAAGAAGUAAUAGUUUAUUUUAUUUGUGAAAUUAUCUUUCGAUCUCUAGCGUCUAAUAUUCUUAUAACUUCCUCCACCUAAGUUUGUCCGACAAUCCGACACAACUUACACAUGCAUCUACCAAAUGAGCUAAAGCUCUUGCACAGCUUUCUAAUUGUGCUUGUAGAAAUUAAGCCAGAAAUACCCAAUCUAAGAUGCACAACCUAACUACAUCUUACCACAAAUUAUAUAAUCACCCUUGCUCACACCCAUCAGUAUCUGUACAUGUUUAAAGCAAUAAAAGUUUUGAGUAUUUUUUUCAUUUCGCGAAAACAAGAGUUUAACCCCCCGACCCGCCCAAAAAAAGCCAUAUGU
rnacentral:lncRNA from 1 species